AGGUGGAAGCUGAAUUAGUGAGGAUGACUCCUGCUCCUGUCAUCUCUAAGCUCCUCACACAUCUUUACCUGCACAUGAGGAAAAUCACUCCUGUAGAAUGCAGAUGUUCAGAGGGAGAUGAUGCCACAUCUGGUCCAGCUGAUGGAAGGUCUUGAAGUUCUCUGACUGGCCUCGACUGAAGAUGGUCGUCUCACUGGAUUUAAGUUUUUCUGUUUCUUCUCUGGAGAUGCACAAUGAGGGACGUCUGCAGAGACUGAGAAAGAGUCUCACCACAUCCUGACAUGAGGAAAAAGACUUUAUUGAAGACUACAAUGAGAAAAACUAUCAGACAGCAGACGGCUGCAUUCAAGGUGAGCUCUGAACAUUUGAUCUGGAACAGGAAUUCAAUAACGGCAGCAUGAGCUUCAUUUCAGUCUGUAGCUGCUGAAUUCAUGGAUGAAUCAUCUGGCACUAGAGAGGAAGACCAUCAAACAUCCACGUCAGCUGAUGGAGGUCCAAGAGUCUCACCAAACAACCUACAGAGUGAAGACCUCGAAUGUGAUUGGACGGCCUCCUAUUCAGCCACAUGUGUGAACAAAUGCCUCUAAGCUGAUUU
ensembl:lncRNA